CAAAAGUUCUUUACGACCUUUGCCCUCAGAUGUCCCCCCAGGGACCGGAGGUUUGCAAAAGGCUUGUCUUCUUUGGACUACAGGGCGGGUGCAAGCCGUGUCCCUCCCAGUAGCGAGAGAAAGCGGACGGGAAGGGGUCUGGAGGAAGUCCCUCCCCUUAAUUGAUUUUCUGUAGUGCGGAUCCGCAGUGCAGACUUACGUUUUGCUUUCCACCAGCCUGCGUCUGCCAGGAGGGUGCAGACAGGAUGAAGAGGCUGGAGUUGGAGACCGGAGACUGAUGGUCGGGGUCACAACAAGAUCCUUAUGUAAAUUCCCCUUCCUUCUGUCCUCCUUCCAAGCCAUUCGGUUCCCAGGGACCUAGCACUACUGACUUCCUCUUCCUCUCUGUGGGGAACCUUCCUUUUCCAACAAGACAGUUGCCAGAUGAAUGGCCGAAGCUCAGUUCGUUCUGCCUCACCCCUAAGAGAUAGCAGCAGGCACCUUCCAGGGAGACACGUCCCAGGGAACCCUGCUUGAGUGAGCCCCUCUCUGCCCUCUCCUCACCCCAAGCAGUAGGGAAACCGAGGCCUGAAGGCUGGGAGAGUCUGGCUUCUCCCUCUCAGUACAGAUGCUCCUGACCCACUCUAGCUGGGCGGGUGACGGAGAUCAGAAGCUAAGAGGACGGAGCAGAAGCCUGGUGAGCAGGGCACCCCCAUAGUCCACCUUAAGCUGAGCUAGAAGAAAGGUCUCUGGCUGGGAACAUGGCAGAAGCAAGGGUUCCGGAUACACCUCUUCCAUCUGUCCUCCGUGCAGCAGAGAUGGCCAGAAUGCCCUGCCUCUUUCUAGCCUCACCGGGGAAGAGGCCAGCAGCCACGGAUAGGUACCCUAGGCCACAUAACACCAGAGCGUGCCGGAGAGAGGCUCCUUGCUGCAUGCCGACCAGGCCGGACCCAGACGGCACGCAGGCGCUGCUCCAGCUGCUUCUGCAGAUCGGCUUCUGAUGAGCUUCCCUCUCAGAGCACUGUUCCGCUCGGGCAUUGACCACAGCGGCUGCAUUCACAGCCAGAGCAACCAUGCCAUCUGGGUAUCCCCCAGCCCCUCUCACGUGAUUGGUCACAAGGCCAAGGGGAAAGUGCUGAGUUAUCUGAAAUCGUUUCCUAUGCCCUACGAGCUCAGUUGGUAGAGCAUGAGUCUUAGGGUCGUGGGUUCAAGCCCUACGUUGGGUGCCAAAAUGUUGUUUUUAAAAAUGAAUGAAAAUUCCAACUGUUCUAUUUUACCAAUAAAAACUCUGGAGCCAGA